rnacentral:rRNA from 1 species
UACAGAGGUCCCAAGCGUUGUUCGGAUUCACUGGGCGUAAAGGGUGCGUAGGCGGUCGGGUAAGUCUUAUGUGAAAUCUCACAGCUUAACUGUGAAACUGCAUUGGAUACUAUCCGGCUCGAGGAAUGGAGGGGAGACUGGAAUACUUGGUGUAGCAGUGAAAUGCGUAGAUAUCAAGUGGAACACCAGUGGCGAAGGCGAGUCUCUGGACAUUUCCUGACGCUGAGGCACGAAAGCCAGGGGAGCAAACGGG